GCAGCAGCCACGGGAAUACGGAGGGUGCAAGCGUUAAUCGGAAUUACUGGGCGUAAAGCGCACGCAGGCGGUUUGUUAAGUCAGAUGUGAAAUCCCCGGGCUCAACCUGGGAACUGCAUUUGAAACUGGCAAGCUAGAGUCUCGUAGAGGGGGGUAGAAUUCCAGGUGUAGCGGUGAAAUGCGUAGAGAUCUGGAGGAAUACCGGUGGCGAAGGCGGCCCCCUGGACGAAGACUGACGCUCAGGUGCGAAAGCGUGGGGAGCAAACAGGAUUAGAUACCCGCGUAGUCCUGUCUCUUAUACA
rnacentral:rRNA from 1 species